rnacentral:lncRNA from 1 species
CUCUCUCGCUGGGGGGCUUUUCCCGGCUGCUGCAAGAAGGAGCGUGUCGGGUUGCUGCAAAGCGGCUUGCUUUUCUCCUUGUGCUUGCUUUUCUCCCUUCCCUCUUUGCUGCCCUUCCCGUCCAGUUUUGCAGCCAGGAGGAGGAGAGCACACACUGCCUCCCCGCGAUCUUCUCUGCUGGAAAUGCACGCGCACCGUGUGAAAUCCAUCCAGGCGCUGCCGUGCUGGGUUUGUUUAUUUGCUUUUAAUAAAAUUAAAAUAGGAUAGGCUGCGGACCGCCCAUGUAGGCAUCGUCGUGUUGCAUUGCAGCCAUUUGCACGGCAGGCGCAAGAUUGGGAGUUGCUACUCCGAGGUGCAGCUUCGGAGAGCGAGAACACGUCGUGCAACGAGACGUUAUAAAGUCCUAGUCCUCAUUGAGGUGGCGGAGCCGGGUUUGAGUUUCCGUCCAUAUCAGAAGCGGGGGCUUAGAGGACGGAAGGCUCCUCUAUGCCAAAUACAUUUUCCUGCACGCAGGAGACUGGCAUCCUAGAAGAAAGGGCCGUGAUCCAGCGUUAUCUCUGCAAUAUUAAGCUCUGCAAGUCUUUUUCGUUUUGCAUGGAGAGGCAGGUCACUAUGGAAAGCCUCCAACGGCAGCCCAGCGUUACGCUUCGACCCCGGCGUCUUUAAGGGUUCGGGUACCAGGCACCACCCACGAAAUCCCCAGUGUUUUGCUUUAAAAAAUAAAAACCUGCCUGCUUUCUUUUGGAGAAAAAAAAAGCGCUGCCUUUCUGCUUCAAGGGACUUAAAAGCAGAUCUCGCUUCGGUUGUGGAACGCCCUCGCAUGAGAUGUCAAGGAAAUAAACAACUAUCUGACUUUUAGAAGACAUCUGAAGGCAGCCCUGUUUAGGGAAGUUUUUAAUGACUGUUUCAAGGUAUUUUUAAUAUUUUGUUGGAAGCCGCCCAGAGUGGCUGUGGAAACCCAGCCAGAUGGGCGAGGUAUAAAUAAAUAAAAUAAUAGAUUUUUAGAGAAAUGGACACUACGUUCCCCUUUUCUGAAAGCGCAUGCUCUUGGGGUCUGUGACUCUCCCGCUCCCAUCAGCCCCUGCCAGUGGUUAGAAGUGGUGGAAUUUACAGCCCUGACAUCUGUCGGUGCCCUGGUUCCCAGUCCCUGAAUGACUGAGCCAGUCUUUUUGGCAAGGUGCUCAGACACCAAAUACUGCAGCUGUCUGAGAAUUACAGACAUAGCAAAAUAGAGGAGGGCAUUCCUCAAGUUUGAUCGUUGCACCAGGGUAUGAAGUCCAGAGAUAGCUUCCUGCUAGCAAAGCAUUUGGCCCAGGCAUACAGCUACUUUCUUGGAUCCCUUCCAAAUGGUGUUCUGUAAAGUAACCAGAAGGUAUUUCCUGCACUAUGACUAGGAAAGAGCAAAAGCAGCGCCACUACAUGGCGUGAAGCUUUACCUUUUGCUGAUAUAAACCGUAAUUGUUUACAGGGAAUGACAAGACUCUCGGCGCUCUGUGAAGGAAGUCUUUAAAGCAGUGGCACCCAUCUGGACGGGACUUUGGGGAAGAAGCCCCAAAACCCUCGGAUUGGAGUGUGACUGUUACGCCACAAAGCCAUGUGGUGUUAUCACUGGUACAUAAAAGGCAUGGAAUUAAAAAUGAGAAGUCGUGUGAUGCAUAUGUGCCUUCAACCAUUUAUUUCAUUGCUUGUUUUCAUUACUCUCAUUAGAUUACCGCAAAUGGGAUCCAGUUAAUUUCUUCCUCUGUUCUGUGCCUGUGUCCUUAACACUGUUGGAGGAUGUGAUUCUAGAACAUGCUUCUGGCCGUGAAUAGUAAAGACAAAAGCAAAGGGCAGAAUGGAGUAAAGUCUUACCGGCUGAGAUUGCAGCAUUUGCAGUCUCAAGGGGGAAUGCAGUAAUAGGGUGGCCUCCAAAUCAGAAAUGCAAAAUGUUUUCUAUGCAGCUUAAUAAUAUCCCAGUUGUUUUUUUAAAACUUCCUUUGGGAAUCCGAUACUCUUGCUAGAAAUCCUUGGCAAAAUUUCUGUCCUGCAGCAAACUGUGUGGCUAUAUGAGCCUUAAAGAUG